ACAACUGGUCAGGCCACCAAAUAUAUCUUUGACCAAGGAUACCUCUACAAGACUACAACUACAAGUGUGAGCCUUCAAGAUAUAAAGAUUCUCUUACUAGGUCAAGCAAAGAGCAAAGCAACAACAAUAAAAGCCCCAUCCAUUCCACAAUUCUACUUGCACAACAAAACCCUACGAAAACCAAUGGCUGUUUCCAUUCGUACACAGUUGAUUUAGUUUGGGAAGAAAGAAGUCAUGUUUUGUUCUUGGUGCUGUGAUCAAGAAACUGAUAAGAAUGGGUGGUAUCGGAAAAAAUUAAAUUACCAACGGCCUUGUCCAAACCGCUGAAUAUGCUGCUGCUCAUAGAGCAUUUUUACAAAGCCGAAUCUGGGGGAUUUCUAAAUAGUGUGAUGCAUGUGUUUCAGUCACCACUAAUUUUAUAGGACUAAUGGGCAGAUCUGUGAGGGAAUCUCAGCAGCGGAACUUCUGUGGGCAGAUAUAGGAAACACCAGUGUCAAAAUCCGAAAAGGUUUUAAAGGAACUAAUUUCAGUCUACAAAUUGCAUAGUUCUGAUGAAGACGAUGAGAAUGACUAGUGUAGGCACCAAUUUGGCAAUUGGUAAAAGAAUGAUUGAUUGACUAUAUAUUUCUUUGUUCUUAUUUGAAUCAAGUAUCAGUUUGUUCAAUUUCUUUGUUAUCAGUUUGUUCAAAUUUUUUGGUGACUCCUGAAUGACUCAAAGUGAACUUGACAGAUCAAAGCAUGAUUUGCGUAGCAAGAUCUGAUGAACUAAUAAGAUUAUUAAUUACCACACUUUCUUUUAUGGUUUUUUUCGUUCUCUUUCCAAGAAAUUUCAAGAUCAUUCACAGUUACACACCUUAUUAGUGAAUCUCGUACACUUGCUAGAUACCAGUGUACAAAUUACGUUGACAAGUAUUAAGACAUCAAAGAGAAAUUUUGUGGGGAAUUUGAACUACUUUUUUUGUGAGUUCAAAUUCUUCCAUAUUUGUGUGCCUUGGCAUUAUCGUUAAACCUUCUUUUGACAGAAUAAACAACCAAAUGUAGUAUUUUGUCAGAUGGAGUAAAAUGAUGAUCUACAGUAUGUAUAGCUGAGCAAUAUGUGUCUAAACAACUUCCACGAUUGAGAAGAUAAUCAUAACUAGGAUAACAUCAACACUUUUAAGGCAUUGCUCAAACCCUGUAUGUAUAAAGAUUUUGGGCACAACCGCACUUCUAAGGCAUUGCUCAAAUUGAUGGAGUCUUUCGGUGUCACUGUUGUUCAUUUGAAUUGAUGCACAGACAUAUGGUGGUGGACAACCAAACCAGUCAGGCCACCAAAUCUUUGACCUGGGAUAUAUACCUCUGUUCUGAUUCUCUUUGGAUGCCCUUAGGAUAAGAUUCUCUUAGGAACCCAUUAGGAUAAGAUGCUCUUUUGAAAAGUUUCUGAUGAAGUAAAUUUAGGUCAAGCAAAGCAACAUCAUCAAUAAAACCCCAUCUAUUCCAGUUUCCACAUAGUUGUACUUCUUUUACAACAAAACCCUAGAAAGAGUUAUGGCUUUUCAAUGAUAUACAGUUGAUUUAGAUAAAGGUGAAUGAGCAAGUCUUGUGCUUCUUUAAAUACAUUUCGUGGCGUUAGGCCUAAACUCCAGGUACAAUAAUGCAAAUAAUUUUACAAAACAAAACAAUUAGAACCUUAAUUUGACAUACAUCUUUGGAUGGCAUGGACAGCAGGCUUUAAUUAGACUGAUCAUCAUAUUAUUCAGUCGGCAUUGGGUAACGGCAGAGGAGAACAAUAAAGGGAUUAUUUGCUUUUGUGCUGUACGUUUUUCCUGCAUAAUAUUUCUAACAUAUAGAAAAUCCAUAUCGUUUAGUAUAAAUGUUGUGAUUCUGGGCUGCUCGGGUAGUCGGUAUUGUUUUUGCACAAGGAUAAGGAACUUAUCUUGACAUUAAUUACAAAACAAUUAGCACCUUAAGUUGACAUACAUCUUUGGAUGGAAUGGAUAGCAGGGCUUAAUUAGACUGAUCAUCAUCUUAUUCAGUCAGCAUUGGGUAACGGCAGAUCUGCCAUUCCAAUGCAUAUGAUAAUGAUGCCCACAGGGCAAACACGUGAUCAACAGGUUUUCUUGUUCUUGUUAUACAUGGCUACGUUGAUAAGGAACAACCGAACAUGAGCUCUGAAAUCCUCGAAAUAAAUAGCACACUAAGGCGAUGGCAUCUGUUGUUGUUGCCCGGCGGAGUUAAAGGCCAGGGGGACUGCAUCAUAACUAAUAUUCAGAUUAUUUGCAUGACGGCCGUUGCUACCCAUUUUUGAAAAUACGUGACGUUGUGAGUUGUGACCAUCAAUGUAUAAAUAUUUUGCACACAAUUGCACAUGUUUCUUUUCCUCUUUUUUUUUUUUUUUUUGAAUUUGGUUCUAAAGAAAAACAGAAAUGCCAUUCCCGUGUGGGAAGAAUUAAUUACCUCCAUCUUCAACCAAUACACGAGGGUAGAGUGUAGCCUACAUCUUUUCGGCAAAAACACACUCAAGAAGUGCAAUACCAUGAUAACGUGCAACACAAGAACUAACAUCUCUUGAGUGCAACCAUCAGAACAUGACCCUCACAGCCCCAAUGGGUUCCUAGCCAACUGUUUAUGCUCACAAGACAUUCAAAUGGCUGGGGAUUUCGUGAGUUAUUGACCACUUACUAGAGGUGAACAAGAGAAAACACAAGGAGGAAGGAGAAAGAACGAAGAAUGCAAAACUCGAGAUGAUCACCUUCUAAGAGCACAAUGGAGAAACUAUAAGAUGGUCUAAUAACUCCAAAACAUGCAACCACGUCAUGCAAGAUACCACCAAGUGAGGAGAAGAGUAUGAUGCAAUCCAAUAAGAUACUUGACAAAACACACUAGAUAGGCCUGCCAAAACAAAAUUAGUUUCAAAGAUGGAAUCCAAACAAUAUCUAGAAAAGUAUGUUCUCAACAUAGAUAACAAGCUCCUGGAAAACGAAGACAAACCGAAACAAACAAAACAAAAAAAAUACUACACUCAAAAGAGAUCUAAGCAUAGAGAUGAGGAAGAGGGGUAGUGACAAUAAAAACAAUUAUCAUGAGAACGACUACCGGUUAAAAGCAAGGCAUGAUUUGUAUCAAAAACAUCACAUCUAUCAUCCUCAAAAACAACCUUAAACUUAGCAUCACAUAAUUGACUAAUGCUCAACAAGUUCGAAUUUAAGCCCUUAACUAAUGCUCAACAAGUUCGAAUUUAAGCCCUUAACUAAUAAAAGCUCAUGACCUCUUAAAGAACCAUUCUCAGAAAAACUACCUUUACCUUCUACCGGGAGCAUCUUACCAUUCCUGAAGGUAACCUUACCUCCAUAUCCAUGAAUCAAAUUAGUAACAAGAGUCUUGUCACCUGUUAUGUGACGAGAACAACCACUGUCUAGAUACCAUGAUGUCGUGCCAUUUUCAACCAGUCGUGCCAUAUGAGAAACCAUCUUUCUAGAAGCAUCAGUACUCCUAUCCCAGAAAUGGGGCGGUGGAGUGGGCAUUGGUGGUGCCUGCGAGCGAGGGUACUUCCUAUAAGGAGAAGAUCGAGGCAAUCCCCACGGAGCAUAGCCAUUCCACAUGUACGGGGCUUGCAUGGGAAAAGUGGUCGACUUGUUCCAAUAAGUAGUGCUUGUAAAAGGAGAAGGAUGAGACGCAUACAAAUUAUUCCAACAGAAAGCAGAUGUAUGUCCCAUACGACCACAAGUAAGACACUUAAAAUUUUUGUGUCUUGAGUUCUUUCUCCGAGAAGGUGGAGAUCGAGCAGCUCUAGGUGGGAUGACACCACCAACUCCCUGUACAGGAGGAGGAGGAGACAUAGGUAGAACACUGGUAGGUCUAACAAAAGUAGUGUACGUGAGUAGAGUUAGAUGCCAGACAAAUAACUGAUGAAUUAUAGCCUAGACCGAACUUGUCUGAAUGAGAUUUACCACUUCCCAGCAGAGAGUCAAGAUUAGCACUAGCUUUACCAAAACCAACCAAUUGUUUAUUAGCAGCAAACAAUUCCGCCUUAACCUUCUCAUGUUCCAACACUAAGGAACGAUAUCUGGACUCCAAGUCAUGAUUCAACUUCUCGGGAGAAGCUAUACGUGCUUGAAAAUCAACCCUUUCCUUUUCAAAUUCCUCCUUCAACAUAUUGGAGUUACCUGCAAGAUUACAAAUAUCUUGUCCAAGAGAAUCAACCUGAUCCUGUAACACAUUGUUAGAUUUUUCAAGCAAUUUAGCCUGCUGCAUAGAAAACUUAUACAUGUCACACAAUUCACUUGUAUUAGUAUGGACACCAGACUCAGGAAUGGUAAUAUUAUCAGUAGAGGAUACAAUACCUCCUGGAUGUUCAUCCAGGGAUGCACUGAAGACCACAUAGUUGGAAACAACAUUUGAGUUGUUGCCAUCUUCAUCCUCAUCAUAGUCAUCCCAUGUAACAGUGAGAUUAGCCUUGGAAUUGUCUCCAGGCUUGCGAUCCACCUUCUUGUCACAUUCAUUGGCAAAAUGUCCAUACUCACGACACUUGUAGCAUUGGACAUCUUUGCGAUCAACACGAGCUCUCCUACCAUCAACAGUAAACCUUUCAAAACCAUGACUCCGAAGAGCAUUUGGAGAGCUAGAAAAAUGCUUUCGAGGAUCUAGGUUUUGUUGAUACUUUAGAAUCUUUUGAAAGCUACGAGAGAGAAAUGCAUAGUUAUUAUCCAAACUAAGCUCUUCAUCAUCAGAAGUUGCUGUAGACACCCUUUCGAAGAGGUAGCCUUAAAAGCCACAUACUUAUUUUUCGAAGGAUCUUCCAAAGCUUGUUCCAUCUCACAAAUACGUAGCUUCCCAGCAAGCGUCUCAAUGGACAUGUCCUUGAUCAUAUUGCUCUCAGUAAUUGCAUCUUUUCGAGAGCGAAAACGGGGUGGCAAGGCACGCAGUAUUUUGCGUACAAUUUGUGUAUCAGUAUACACAUGACCAAUAGCAGAACUACAAUUCACGAUGUCUUGCAAACGAAUGAAGAACUCAUCAAAGGUCUCGGAAUUAUCCAUUCUUAAGUUCUCGAACUGAGAAGUCAACAAUUCAAGCUUGCUUUCCUUGACAGAUUCAUCACCCUCAUGUGUACGAAUAAGUCUGUUCCAUGCAUCCUUUGCUUCAACACAACCAUGAACCCGACGAAAUUCACUUGCAUUUAAUUCCAUGAAAAUAGCAUUGAGUACUUUGUUAUUAAAGGUCGCGGUUGAUUUUUGUUCAGGUGUCCACUUUGCACGGGGUGUGGGUGAUAUAACUGCAGUAUCACCAGUCCCUGUCGUAGUCAAAGGUGUUUUCCAUCCGUCUUCAACUGCGAACCAAACAUCUUCACCCAAGGCUUGGAGAUAAGCCAUCAUACGAACUUUCCAAUGACCGAAAUCUUUUCCAUCAAAUUGUGGAGGAAGAUUCGAAGUACCAAACUUGUGAGGUUCCAUUGCAGCAUUAUGGAUCUUAGGCGUGAGCCUUUACGCUCCUUAAAAAGCCCCCUGCGACUGAUACCAAUUGUAACUCCACAAACAAUGUUAUUACCACAAUCACAACUAAUCAAACAAACAAAUCAAUGAACAAAAAGUAAAUGAACACACGAUAUUUUUAACGUGGUAAAAGCCAAUAUGGGAAACGUCAACGGUUGUCCUUGUGACAACAAAUAAAUCCACUAGAUGAAAAGAGAUGUACAAACCUAUCAACUACCCGCAAUCACUACGAGUUGACACUACCGGUUAUCUCUAACACCUUGACUUCACCAGAGUACCUUGAUGUACGCACAAGACACUCGACUUCUUGAUGAACACACAAGAAGAAUCGAAGCCGAUCUCAAUAAUCAAUAAUGAAGAAGUAGAUGAAUGGAGAGGAAAGAAUGAGUUCAAUCACCAAAACACAACCCUAAACAAACUCAAGAAGAAAACCUCAAUUGGACGGCCAAAGAAGUCGUUUGUUCUUUUGUUGAAAAACACACCACGACGUACGUAUGCCAGCCCUAACUAGGUACGUACGUCCUUGAACUAAAAAAAGAUCUGACGUACAGGACGUACGUACAUCCUAACUAGGUACGUACGUCCAAACCAGAAAUAAAAGAUCUGCCUAACCCAACGUACGUACGUCCUAACUAGGUACAUACGUAUGUACUGUACCAAACAGCAAACUGACAAACUUGAUGAGAGAAAGGAUACACGGGACGACGCUCACACAUCAAGGUACUUCCUAAUAAUGAGAUCAAGGCGAGAUAACCACAGACGCACCUAGUCACAAAAUAAUGUCAAACAACCGAGUGCCGGUUUCAUGGACAACCAGUCAGGCAACACCUAAUCGUCUGGAUACCUGUACAAGAAAGAUAUGAUUCUGUUUGGAUGCUAUUAGGACAAGAUUAUCUUUGGAUGCUAUUUUGAAAAGAUUUGAUGACAAAACCCUAUCCACAUAUAGUUCUUCUUGCACAACUAAACCUAGAGCUAUGGCUGCUCAGUCAUACACUGUUGAUUUAGAUUUAGAAGAAAAUGUCGAACUUUUUUUUUCCUUGGAAUCAAUAGAUUUUUUAAGACUAAUAAGCAUGGGUGGUCUCGGAAAAAAUGCCACUAGGAAUGUCCUACUCCAGCCUGCUGAAUGAGUUGUUCUGGACUGAUACAGCAGAACAAGGAUAAACUAGUGGAGUGGGGAUGAAGCAUAUAGGAAUCUAGUGGCUGCAUACAGAUAGAAAGAAGAAUGUUAAGUUGAAAGGCAAGUCUACAAUUGUGCAGAUCUACAAGAAGAUGUGAAUGGGUUGGGUCGGAAAAAAUGAGCAUCAAUGUAUAAACAUUUUGCACACAUCUGCAUUUCAAAGGCAUUGCUCAAAAUGGUAGAGUCGUCAGUGUGGUUGUUGUUGUUAAUUACAACCAGUGCAACUCGAUCACAUAGAGGGAGACACAGUUUGGCUAAGCAUAUCAUGCUUCAUAGGACAACUGGUGACCAAAUUGCCGAACAUUUCUUUGACCAGGGAUACCGUCUACAAGGCAACGGAUGCAAGAAAGAUUCCCUUUCUAUGCCAUUACGAUAAAUCUGGAUCAAGCAAAGCAACAACAUCGAUAAAACCCCAUCCUAGAAAGAGUUAUGGCUUUGGAAUCAUAUACAGUUGAUUUAGAUCUAGAGGAAGAGGAUGUUAAAUAUUUUUCCCUAAAAUCAAUAGAGUUGUGAAGACUGUUAAGAAUGGGUGGUAUCGGAAACAAUGUACAAAAAUCCUACUCCAGACUCAAGAAAAUAAGAAGAGGAGCGCAGAAUGCCGGACACUCGAUUAUUUUAUUUAUUUCCCACUUCUACUCUAGUCUGUACCUUAUCUUGCAGGAGAUUUUGAUGAAGCAUCUGGCGACUGGCGGUGCACACAGAUAGGAAAAAGAACAAUUUGUAAAAAAAAUUUGGAUGAUUGACUAUAAAAAACAAUAUGAAAAAACCCAUCAUCAAUUGUGUUUUGGUCUUUUGGAACAAGAAAAAUUAUUGCUGGGUGACUUUUGAUCACUUUAGUCUUUUAUCUUAUUUAUUUAUUUUUCUUUUCUUUCCAACUUUCUCAAUUAUGUUUGUCUACUUCUUCUGAAGUUGUUGCCGGAGAGGGCAAUUAAAUGAGAUAUAAUGGUGAAUGCGCAAGUCCCACCAGCAUAACACUAUAAAAAAAAGUCUACAAUCAUCAUGUCCUUUUUUUAUUUUUCUUGGAGUUCUGACGAAGAAGAUGAGAAUGGGUGGUGUUAGCAAAAAUGAGUUUAGAAAUAACUUCCUAGUACUCUAUACUGCAGAAAAAUGAAAUUGAGAAGUUAGCAGGGAAGUUAUUAAAACAUUUUGAAAUUAAUGUUAGCAUUGAAACUGGCAUUUGUUUUCAUGGUUUGACAUCAUUUCGUGUUUGUGUGAUCGGCUAUCUAGCUCGGAAUUCAUUGUUAGGUUGAACCUUGGUAUGUGUCUCAUUCCUUAUUCGUUUCUCUAUCAUCUUGUGUCUCAGGUUCCUUAGUUUUCAAUCUAUCGGAUUUUGGUUCGGACGUAACUCUUUGGUUCAGACGAAUUUGUUCCAGAUAUUUUAUUCGUGCAAAUGCUGGAAUUUGGUUCUGACGAAACCUUUUGGUUCGAACGAAAUUCUUCCAGUAAGUUUUUCGUCCUUUUGUUUUGUUUCCUUUUUUAGAAUCCAUAUAAAUAGGUUUUCUCUUCUUCUUGAUUCUUCCUUCUCUCACUAUAUCCAUAUUCCUUUGUGAGUGCAUAUUGGCUUCGCGAUCUCCUUGUGUGACUGUGUGACUAUCAAGGGAUACUAAAGAAGCAAUCUAUCUUUCUAGACUUCGAGAUUUUGUGUGUUCAUCAAGGUUCUCUGGUGAAAUCCAAGGGUGUUAGAGAUAGCCGGUAUUGUCAAGUAGCAGGUAUAUGCAGUAGUGCUUGAUAGGCUUGUAAUCUCUUGCAACAUAGUGGAUUGAUUUGUUACCGAUCGAGGUAAGCGUGGACGUUUCCCAGUUUGGGUUUUACCACGUUAAAACUUCUUGUGUUCUUUACUAUUCUUCUAGUGUUGAUUUGUUGUUUUUUUUUUCUAUUAUAUUGCACUUAGCUUGUUUGGGGUUUCAAGUAGGGAAGUUAUUAAAACAUUUUGAAAUUAAUGUGUAUUGUUCAUAUAAUUUGAGUUGCUUCUUAGUUGAUUCGAAAUUGCAUGAUCGUUAAGCCUUCGUUUUUACAGAGUAAACAACUGUAUGCAGUCGUUUCAGAUCAUAAAAGUUUUUUGGAGACAUAGUUUUGCUCAAUAAUCUACCCUUCCAAGGAGGACAUGCUUACACAAGAUCAGAGUCUAGGUUUUUUAGCCUUCUUAUAGUUGACAUCUUCAACUCCAUCACUAUCUUCUUCAUCUGGUCCUGGUCCUCGUUCACACUCUACUCUCAUUUUGCAGGCGUACAUAGGCGAUCUUGUCAGAGUCCUUGCAAUCUUGUCAAAGUCCUCCGAUAGCCCCCGACAACAUAAACAGUCCGUCCGGCACAAUCAGGUCCCGUUUGGCAGAGGUUGGAGAUUUGUAGAACCUGCACCCACAAUAAGCUCACCCCACAGAGCGGAAAUCUCUUUGUUUUUUCUUCAAGCUCCCUGUCCUUGCCCUCACCUUGGUCUCCGCAACAAGGGCAACAUUCUUAGCUCGCUCAAUCUGUUCUUUCAGCUCGUUCUGCUCAAUAUCAGCUCGAGCACCAACCUCAGCGACCAGACGAACCUCCUAGAAGCUAGCAUUAAGCUGCAAAAAAACAAAACUUAGGAACCAAGAAAACUAUGAUAAUAGUACGAUCAUCAGCAAGCUCACAAGUCAACCCACCAGAGAAAAAACAGAGUUGAUUUCGAGCAGGUCACAAGAAGACCUUUAGAUUUAACCAUACGAGCAUCAGCAUCCAGGACAUAUCCCUCAUUCACAGCUCGAGAAACGUAGGGGGUCAUCUAUAACCCUCUCAUUAUCAUAAACUAUGUGUUUCCCUCCCUGACCGUCCAAAUAUUUAAAAGCUCAAAACUCAGAUGACACACCCUUACCCUCACUAGAGAAGCGAACUGCAGACUUUCUUGACAAAGGAGUAGGUAUAGAAAAUUUGAUGGCCUUGGAAGGAACUGGAUGAGGGAUAACUGGAGGAGGCUCGGUCAAUUUCAAAGCACCAGAAGAAGACCGACCUUUUCUUACUCGACCCAAUAGACGGCCUCAGGAAUGAGGUCGGUGGUGUGAUGACCUGAGGACUUGCAACCAGGUUGGUGGACUUCGAGGUACCAAUAGGUCGGGCCUUGCCACUCUCAUUCUCUCUCUACUUAAUUAAUAAAAUAGGCAAUGUACUUUGAAAAGUUAACCAAUUUAGGCAACCAACUUUAAAUCCUUCCAAUUUAGGCAACAUACUUUCAAUUUGUUCUCAAUUUUGGCAUCCCAACUUUUUUCGUCAAAUUUCCUUAACUGCACCGUUAAUGCUGAUGUGGAUUUUUUGUCCACGUGGCAUGUGGGACUCUUGCCGAUGUGGCAAAUUUUAUUAAUUAGUUAAAAAAAUUAAUUUCAAAUAAAAUUUGCCAUGUCAACAAGGUCCCACAUGUCACGUGGACAAAAAUAUCUACGUCAGCAUGGGUUAACGGUGCAGUUAUAAACAUUUGAUGGAAAAAGUUGGGUUUCCAAAAUUGAGAACAAAUUGAAAGUAUGUUGCCUCAUGUGGACAAAAAUAUCUACGUCAGCAUGGGUUAACGGUGCAGUUAUAAACAUCUGACGGAAAAAGUUGGGAUGCCAAAAUUGAGAACAAAUUGAAAGUAUGUUACCUAAAUUGGAAGGAUUUAAAGUUGGUUGCCUAAAUUGGUUAACUUUUCAAAGUACAUUGCCUAUUUUAUUAACUAAUUCUUCUCUCCCUAGCUCUCUUUCUUUCUUUCCUAAUUCCACUUUGCGUUGGGACUCCCACCUUGUUUGCUAGCCACUUUGAAAUAUGGGGUGGAUUUCACCUACAUUGCACCUAUGUGGAGGUGGGUAAAUCCACCUUGCAUUGGGAAUGCUAACAAGUUGAGGUUCUCAAUCACUCAUACAUGACUGAGUUCCAAAUAAUGUUUGGGAGGAAGGAAUCUCUCAUCUGAGCACCUUUUGGCUUGUAUGGCUUAUGCUCUCUUUGUCCAGCUACUUUGUGUUUUUCACACAGUUUAAGAAUGCAAAAGUAUUAAAUUUUAUAUAUCGUAAAAAAAAAAAGUUUCAAAGCAUCUUUAAUUUAACUUAAUAGCAUAAGUGGGAACCAAGUGUAAUCAUGACAGAGAAGAGAGAAAACACGGACGGAGUUAUUUCUUCUUAUUCACAUAUAUUGUUGUACAUAGUACAUUACACUCCAGUAUGUAUAUAUUCAGCAAGUAGAAUAUAUCUUAAAGUCAAACUGCCUUGUAUGCUUAGCACAUGCAUAAGCCACGUCAAGUUCUCUUUUGCCACAUAUAUGGUGAUGAAUCAAAAUACCAUUAACUGCACCUUGAACCAUGUUAAGAUAAUCAUGAACAUGUGGGCUUCGGCUUAGAUUGGACAUCCACAAUAAUGUUUACAACACUCCCGGCCCCCUUAGAUGUACAAUGUUCACCAUUUCAAGAUUAUUACCUCAUUAAAACCUUGUCAGGAAAACCUAGUGGGAAAAAGAAUAGCGAAGGAAAAAGAGUACAAUAGUUGAUAUCUUGACUGGUAUUGGACGCGCUAUAUACCGCCUCGUUAAAACCUUGCUAGGAAAACCCAGUGGGAAAAACCAUAGCUAAGGAAAAAGAGUACAGUGCGCUUCAUGUCUUGGCGGCUCCCCUGAAGAUAGCUCCCCAUUAUGAAAAUCAGACUAAGCUCGACUUUCGACGCAUCCCAAUGCCAUAUGCCAGUUUCUGAAAAGCUGGUGGAACUAGUGACUUAGUGAACAAAUCAACGAGAUUCUCAUCAGACCAUAUCUUCUAGACAUUGAUCUCGUUACUCUUCUGGAGUUCAUGAGAGAAAAAGAAUUUUGGAGAAAUAUGUUUUGUUCUAUCACUUCUAAUGUAGCCUUCCCUGAUUUGAUCAAUACAUGCAACAUUGUCUUCAUAAAUCACUGGUGUCUCUGUAACUGAGGGGAAUCCGCAUGUUGAUUUGAUGUGAUGUAUCAAGAGCCUCAACCAUACACACUCACGAGUUGCUUCAUAGAGUGCAAGUAUCUCCGAGUGGUUGGAAGAUGUAGCAACCAAUGUUUGCUUAGAAGAUCGCCAAGAAAUUGUUGUACCACCAUAAGUAAAUACAUACCCGGUUUGCGAUCUUUCUUUGUGUGGGUCAGAUCUAUAUCCAGCAUCUGCAUACCCUUUUAGUUGAGAGCCAUUUGGUGGUUCUCUGGAAUAGUAUAAGCCCAUAUCAGUCGUUCUUCAAAGGUAACGCAUAAUCUCCUUUAAGCCAGUCCAAUGUCGUAGGGUUGGAGCUGAGCUAAACCUGGCUAACAAAUUCACUGCAAAUGAAAUAUCAGGUCUAGUACAUUGGGCUAAAUAUAAAAGAGCACCCACAACACUCAAGUAUGGUACUUCAGGACCAAUUAAAGAUUCAUUGCCCUCUUUAGGACGAAAUGGGUCUAGUUUCACAUCAAGUGACCUUACCACCAUUGGAGUGCGACUUGGGCGACAUUUAUCCAUGUCAAAACGCUUUAAAACUUUUUCAGUAUACGUUGACUGAUGGACAAAUAUUCCAUGUGUUGUAUGUUCGAUCUGCAGGCCGAGAGAAUACUUUGUUUUACCGAGAUCUUUCAUCUCGAACUCAUUCUUUAAAUAGUUUGAUGCUUUGGCAAUCUCUUCAGGAGAUCUAAUUAUAUUUAUGUCAUCGACAUAAACCGCAAUGAUGACAAAUCCUAAAUUUGCUUUCUUAAUGAAUAUACAUGGGCAAAUGGGAUCAUUCUUGUACGCUUCUUUCAGUAGGUACUCACUGAGGCAAUUGUACCACAUACGCCCAGAUUGUUUCAAUCCAUAUAAUGAUCUCUUAAGCUUAAUAGAGUACAUAUUACGUGGUUUUGCUUCAGACAAUUUUAAUCCUUCAGGGACUUUCAUAUAAAUAUCAGUAUCCAACAUUCCGUAAAGAUACACAGUAACCACGUUCAUGAGAUGCAUGUCGAGUCUUUCAGAGACUGCCAGACUGAUUAAAAAUCGAAAUGUAAUUGCAUCCAUCACGGGAGAAUAUGUCUCUUCAUAAUCAAUCCCAGGUUUCUGCGAGAAACCUUGUGCCACGAGGCGAGCUUUAUAUCUCACAAUCUCGUUUUUCUCAUUGCGUUUCCUUGCAAAUACCCAUUUGUAACCUACAGGGUUAACAUUCUUGGGGGUUAGGACUGCAGGUCCAAACACAUUUUUGUUUUGCAAGAGAAUCCAAUUCUGCUUGAAUUGCAUCCUUCCGUUUUGGCCAAUCAUGUUGUUGUCGACAUUCCUCAACAGUAUGUUGUUCAAGACCAUCAUCAUCUGCUGCAAUCUCAACAGCUACGACAAAGGAGAAUACGUCAUCAAUGACAAUUUUGUUUCUAUUCCACAACUCUCUUGUGCAUGCAUAAUUUACAGAAAUUUCAUCAUUUUCAGGUACCUAGGCCACAUCUGGGACUUGUGUCACUUCAGGGGCUUGUGCCACUUCAGGGACAUCUUCCUCUUCAAGAGGUUUUUGUUUAGAGAGAGUGUGUUUUCCUUGCCUUGUAGCCUCUCCAGGAGCGCUAUUUACUUGAGGUUUUGUUUGGUUUUUCCUCUUCCGGGGAUUUGAGUCUUUUGACCCAACAUAUCAUCCACGCUUCUAUCGUACUUUAGACGAUUCAUUUGCUGCCACAUUCGCUUGUUGUUUUUCAGAGACGUGUCGUCCUUCAGGGACAGAUCGUCCUUCUGGGACUUCAAUUCGCGUAGGCGCAUUAGCAGCUGGUACAUGUGACCUUGUCACUUUUGCUACGUUUGUAAAACCAUCAGGCAAUUGCCAAGCAAUUUUCUGAAGGUGAAUGAUCCUUUGUACUUCAGUUUCACACAAAGGAGUACGUGGAUCAAGAUGAGAUAGAGUUGUUGUAUACCAAGUCAAUUUAGGUGCUUCUGCGGGAAGCCACAAUUCACGCCGUUCUCCAGGAACAGACGAAUUUUCUCCCCCUAACCGCGGAAAGACUGUCUCAUCAAAGUAGCAAUACGUAAAUCUUGCAGUAAAAACAUCACCUGUCAAAGGUUCAAGAUAUCUAAUAAUAGACGGAGAAUUAAAACCAACAUAAAUUCCUAAUCUACGUUGAGGUCCCAUUUUUGUGCGUUGGUGUGGCGCAAUUGGAACUUGCACCGCACAACCAAACGUUCGUAGAUGAGAAAAUCUGGUUGAUGACCAAAAGCAAGUUGUAAAGGAGAAUAUUGAUUAUAUGCAUGUGGUCUAAGUCGAACCAGUGCGACGGCAUGCAAUAUAGCAUGUCCCCAUGCAGAAACAGGCAACUUCGAUUUCAUAAGCAUGGUGCGUGCAAUCAUCUGAAUAUGUUUGAUAAAGGACUCUGCUAAUCCAUUCUGUGUAUGUACAUGAGAACGAGAUGCUCGAUGUCAAUCCCUAUAGACAUGCAAUAGUCAUCAAAGGUCUGUGAUGUGAAUUCACCAGCACCAUCAAGGCGGAUGGAUUUUUAAUAGGGUAAUCAGGAAAAUGUGCUUGUAAUCUAAUGAUUAUUUGAGCAAGAAGUCGUGCAAAUGCCACAUUUCGUGUAGACAGAAGAGACACGUGGGACCAUCGUGCAGAUGCAUCAAUUAACACAAGAAAAUAUCUUAAUGGUCCACAGUGUGGAUGUAUGUGUCCACAAAUAUCUCCUUGAAUCCAUUGUAGGAAUGUAGGAGACUCAGUAAUGACCUUAGUUGGAGAUGGCCUUGUGACCAACUUACCUUGAGAAGCAGUACAAACAAAGUCAUUAGAUGCAAGAAUCUUCUGGUUCUGCAAACUAUGUCCAUGUGAAUUUUCAAUAAUUCUUCGCAUCAUACUAGCCCCAAGGUGACCCAAAUGGUCAUGCCAUAACAUAAAUGUCUUAUGGUCAUGGAACUUCGGGCCGCAUAAGAUUCAAGGGGCUUGAUGGUUGUGAAGUACAACCCCGAAGAAAUAGCCUUAAGCGUCUCAACAACCUAUUUCUUUCCUAAAACUUGAGAGGUUAUACAUAAAUACUCAAUAUCAUGAUAAUUCAUAGUCUCGAUGUGGUAACCAUUAAGACGUAUGUCUUUCACACUAAGCAAAUUUUUUGUGGAUUUUGGGGAGUAUAAAGCAUCCACAAUUUUGAAUAUGGUACCACCAGGAAGCAUGACAUGGGCUCGGCCAGAGCGUUCAAUAAGACUAGAUGUACCAGAAAUAGUGUCCACAUUAGGCUUCACAAAUUUCAUCUGUGAAAAGUACCUACGGUCUCGUAAAAUUGUGUGUGUCGUGGCACUGUCUACGAGGCAUACAACUCUACCAUCCGCAAGACGAUUAUGCAUGCUAUAUGUGGGAUCCAUAUCCCUUCAUAUUACAAGAAAAUUAAAGUGAGUACGAGUUAAGAUAACACAUACUUAUUAUUUAUUAACAGAUAAUACCAAGUAGUACAUAACAAAAGUACAUAUAAGCAGAUACAUGAUAUAAAACGAUAGAUAUAGACUUAAUUGGUGGGGAAACCUCCAUCAAAGAAGUCAAGAUUAUACUCUAGUUCCACAAUAAAAUCAUCAACAUUAAAAGGAGUAGAGUCUUCUGGCUCAGACUGAUCGACAAAGUUCAUUUCCACUUUCUUUCCUUUGUCAUUCUUGGAUGCUUGAUAAAGCUCAACCAUGUGUUUGGCCGUACGACAGGUACGUGACCAGUGUCCUUCCAUGCCACAACGAUGACAAAUGUCAUCACUAGUUUUACGGUAAUGAGUGCUACUGGCACCUUUCCCUUUAUCCUUUUUAGGCUCAGUGUCAUCCCACUUCUGGUGGUAUGGGGUACUUCUGAACCCUUUGUGGCUGGAAUUGUUAUUAUGGGGACCACCACUCUUGUGGUAUUGGCCACUUCUGGGGCCUUUGCCUCUUUUGGGCCCAUUCCACUUUUUACUACCACGAUAUGAUGCCGCAUGUGCUUCAGGCACAGGUGCAGAGCCAGGUGGCCCUUUGUUAGCAUUGCUCAUCAGGAGCUGCUUACUUUGCUCGGCUUGAAUAAGAAUUUCAUUUAACUCCGAGUAUUUCUUAAGUCGGCAUUGCCGAUACUGUUCAUGUAGGACCAUAUUUAUAGGAUGAAAUGUAGAGAGUGUUUUAUCUAUCAUUUCUUCCUCAGUAACAGGAUGCCCACAUAACUUCAGGGUGGACGCGAGUUUCAACAACUUCGAGUUGUAUUCCGAAACAGUCUUGAAAUCCUGAAACCUCAAGUGUGACCACUCAUGUCGAGCCCUUGGGAGGGAAAUGGUUCUAUGGUGGUCAUACCUUUUUUUGAAAUUCUGCCAAAGAAUUUGUGGGUCCUUUGACAGUGAGGUAUUCAGUUUUCAAUUCCUCAUGGAUAUGGUGGCGAAGAAAAAUUAGUGCUUUAGCACGGUCCUGCUGGGACAGCUGAUUUCCUUCUUUUAUGGAGUCUUCCAGACCCAUGGACGCAAGAUGUAAUUCGAUAUCAAGUACCCAGGACAGAUAAUUUUCACCAGUAAUAUCCAAAGCAGUAAAUUCCAACUUGGUAAUGUUAGACAUGAUUAUAAUGCGAAAAUCAACAAACUUACCCAAAUACUUACACUGAUAACACCUUGUUGUAAUAGCACCUUAUUGAUAUAUACACUUCUUGUAAUUGUUGGACAAUAGAGCGAACUCGUGCUGAUAACGUCGUAAAAAACUGAAGUUUCAAAGCAUCUUCAGUUUAACUUAAUAGCAUAACUGGGAACCAAGUGUAAUCAUGACAGAGAAGAGAGAAAACAUGGCCGGACUUAUUUCUUCUUAUUCACAUAUAUUGUACAUAGUACAUUACACUCCAGUAUGUAUAUAUUCAACAAGUAGAAUAUAUCUUAAAGUCAAACUGUCUUGUAUGCUUAGCACAUGCAAAAGCCACGUCAAGUUCUCUUUUGCCACAUAUAUGGUGAUGAAUCAAAACACCAUUAACUGCACCUCGAACCAUGUUAAGAUAAUCAUGAACAUGUGGGCUUGGGCUUAGAUUGGACAUCCACAACAAUGUUUACAACAAUAUAGAUAUUUUCACUUAAUUCUUUCCAUUAACAUUGACAAUUAAUACUACACAACAUUUUAGACAAUAAAUAAGAGUAUAUUAAUAAAUUUUAACAACCUAUCACUUUGAAAAUGGUAAAAUAAUGGACUACAUUCUGGGACAAAAAUAAAAGGCAAAGUGACCUAUAUAUAUGGGCAAAGGCAACUCUACCCUAUAACAAAUUAGGCAGGUGCCUAAGGCCCCCACUUAAUUGUUAAGCCGGAUAAUUUUUUAUUUAGGCAUUUCCUUUUUCAUUUAAUUGUUUUUUUCUUAAAUAAAACUCUAAAGAUUGAAGAGUCCAUCUCUAGAAAAAUACUCUUAAAUAUUUGGGGCCAUGUUAUUUUUGUUUGUUGUGCGCAGCGGAAACUUAUGCACCAAUACCCAAGAUUGAAAUAGUGUAUGAAAGAUAACAAAGCAAGUAGUAAAGAAGUAAACCUACUUAGCAACAACAAACAAUAGAGAGAGACACCAAAAUAACGUGGUUCAGCUUGAUUGCCUACGUCCACGGACAAACAAAUAGAACUUUUACUAUUGGAGAAGAUAGUACAAAGCUCUCAAACAAAUGGAGAAACCCUAGGUUUCCUCCCUUCUCAAAUCCUCACCAAAUCUCUCAAAGAGACAAUCACAAAUUGAGGAUACAAACUCUCUCUCUCUUGGAUGGAGACGAUUAUGCAAGCCCUCACGAAGAAACCAAAGUGUUCUUCCUCACAAAAGUUCUCUCAAACUUGCCAAUGGCUUCUCACAAUCUCUCUCACAUCCCGAUUAGGUUUUCCAACUUCAAAUUGGCUUUAUAACAUAGCCUUACAAUCAAACACGAAAAUGGGCUUAAACAGGCCCAUAUGCACAAAACCAAGGGAGGACGUACGUACGUCGAAUUGACGUUCGUACGUUCAGCUUCAAAACAAACAUCUGUGAUACGGGACGUACGUAUGCCCUAACUACGUACGUACGUUCCCAACCAAAAACUUCCCUCCGUCCAAAAAAAUCCAACAAUUCUCCACCUCGGCGAAGAUUCAAUAAAUCUAAGCCGACACCAAGUCCCAAACUCCCAUACAUGUCCCGAAGGACCAAAACGGCUGCACCACCUCAUGGUUGCCUACGUACCCUUCUCCUUAGGGAUCAAGCCAUCGUAGUUCACUCCAAUGACAUCUAUUCGAUGCCCACCAUACCCCGAAGGGUCGAAUUCCCACAAGGGGCCAAAUCAAAACCAAAUGCCCACCAAUGCCGGGGCCAAAUCAAAGACAAAUGCCCACCAAUGCCCGUAGAGGGCCAACAAACAACUUCAACACAAUGGGGUCUAAGCUACCAAAUACCAUCUCCACCUCAACAAAGUUCUCCAUCGAAGAUGAUCCAAUGCCCCGAAAAACUAACCUCUCAAGAGUUUUUCCUAUGAAGUUCAACCAAGUGGGGUACAAAUUCAAAUCACUAUGCAUAGAUUUACCAAAUACGUCUUCCUUACUAAGCGCCAAACAAACAUCACAUGAGAGAUUACCAACCAUAGGAAGUACGUACACAAAACCCCCAAACAAAGGUUUCACGGCUUCAUAAGGUUCUUGGGCGAUAACCUUUGCUACUAACAAUGGUGGCUUCAACUUUCUUCUUUGCCGUGUCACCUAACAAACCAAUCAAAUGUGGAGCGACAUCAAUCUCCACCCGAACAAAUGACGCUUCAACAAAAUGCCUACCAACUAUGCAUGUCUUGCCACCCGCAAACAAAUCUGUCUUCACUUGCAUAGUACCAUCAACGGCAUGCCCCAUAUUACUAUGCAAUUCCUUGGUAGAAUCGACAGACAAAUCAACAACUGAACUAUGCAAACCACAUGUAAUUGCACUUCCUUUCAAGUAGUACAACUUACCCUUUCUAAUGCCUUUCAUAACAACUCGUGCACCUACAACAACUUUUAGAGCUCCACCAAUACAUGUAAUUUUCAUACCAUCGGACUCUAAAACACCCAAUGAGAUUUGAUUCAUAGUCAACUCUGGUACAUACCAAACAUUUUCUAACUUUCGAGUGCAUCCAUCUUCCAACUUCAAUCGAAUUGUACCUAUCCCAAAAGUUUUGCAAGUAUGAUCAUUACCAAGCAAAACACAAGCAUCUAGCUCCUGAAAGCUAUCAAACAACUCCCUAUUGGGACACAUAUGAUAGGAACAACCCGAAUCCAAAAUCCACUCAUUAGUAGAAUGACUAACUGAAGAUGAAGCCAACAACGAAACACCAACACAUGAAUUCUCAUCUCUUCGAUGUACACGAACAAUCUUCUUCUGCAACUUUGGACAAUUAAUUUUCCAAUGUCCCCAACAAUGACAAUAGGCACAUUCAUUCUUUGCAAGAGUUCUUCGACUUCUCAAUUUACAUUGAGACACUAGGUUCCGCAGGUACGAUCAUCAACCACAUAGAGCCGGNNNNNNNNNNNNNNNNNNNNNNNNNNNNNNNNNNNNNNNNNNNNNNNNNNNNNNNNNNNNNNNNNNNNNNNNNNNNNNNNNNNNNNNNNNNNNNNNNNNNNNNNNNNNNNNNNNNNNNNNNNNNNNNNNNNNNNNNNNNNNNNNNNNNNNNNNNNNNNNNNNNNNNNNNNNNNNNNNNNNNNNNNNNNNNNNNNNNNNNNNNNNNNNNNNNNNNNNNNNNNNNNNNNNNNNNNNNNNNNNNNNNNNNNACCAUCAAAUUUAUGAAUGUCAACAUCUAACAACAAGGUUUGAUCAAACAAACUAUCAACCUCCUUUCCAAAUUCACUCGAAUCCGAAAUAUGAUCCGACAUGAUACCAAUCAAUUUCAUACACCAAACAAUCACCAAACGAAGGUAAACAAAUCUGAAAAUUCACACAGGAAUUUCAACAAACACCUUCUUGACAACCCACAGAUAAAAGGUAGAACUUUUGGCUUGAAACACAAAUAAGAAACUCACUACGGAAUUUCUUCAAACACCUUCAAGACGCUCAAGAUCUAGCCUGCAGCACUGAUGCCACUUGUUGUGCGCAGCGGAAGCUUAUGCACCAAUACCCAAGAUUGAAAUAGUGUAUGAAAGAUAACAAAGCAAGUAGUAAAGAAGUAAACCUACUUAGCAACAACAAACAAUAGAGAGAGACACCAAAAUAACGUGGUUCAGCUUGAUUGCCUACGUCCACGGACAAACAAAUAGAACUUUUACUAUUGGAGAAGAUAGUACAAAGCUCUCAAACAAAUGGAGAAACCCUAGGUUUCCUCCCUUCUCAAAUCCUCACCAAAUCUCUCAAAGAGACAAUCACAAAUUGAGGAUACAAACUCUCUCUCUCUUGGAUGGAGACGAUUAUACAAGCCCUCACGAAGAAACCAAAGUGUUCUUCCUCACAAAAGUUCUCUCAAACUUGCCAAUGGCUUCUCACAAUCUCUCUCACAUCCCGAUUAGGUUUUCCAACUUCAAAUUGGCUUUAUAACAUAGCCUUACAAUCAAACACGAAAAUGGGCUUAAACAGGCCCAUAUGCACAAAACCAAGGGAGGACGUACGUACGUCGAAUUGACGUUCGUACGUUCAGCUUCAAAACAAACAUCUGUGAUACGGGACGUACGUAUGCCCUAACUACGUACGUACGUUCCCAACCAAAAACUUCCCUCCGUCCAAAAAAUCCAACAUUGUUCAAAUUCCAAUACAAUUAUUAGUAUAUCUCUUCUACAAUAAAACUAAAAUCAAAUUAAAUUGUAUGUAAUAUAAAAAAAAAAUACAACUAUCCUACUGUUUUUGUUCAAGAAAUUUUUUGAUGUUUACUUUAAGAACAUGCCUCAAAUUUUGGUUUGCCUAAGGCCCUCAUAUCUCUCGAGCCAGCCCUAUAAACGGGACGGAGGGAGUAUGUUUUUUAUUUACAUACAAAUGGAAAAUUUAAGUUAUGUGAAUACGAGUAUAUGACUCUGGUAAGUGGUGUAUUUAGGUUGUAAUUAGUGUCUGAUAUUUCUUUUAGAAAGGAAUAUUUUGAUGAGUGGCAAUUAUGUGAUUGAUUGAAGCAUAAUUCAAUGAUUUAGCAAAAAAAAAUUUAUUAUGUUUAGUGGUAUAUAAGCGGGUUGUAGUUGGGUUAUAGCUACUGAAUCAUGGAUAUCAUGUAUGCAUGAUAUUUCAGAUUAUUUGAUAAAAAAAAUAGACUAUAUUAUUUGCAUCAUUGCAUGCAAGACUAACCGAUCGAGUCAAUCAAUCUCAAACGUGCAGUGCACACUACCAACCUGUAUAAGCAUAUCACAUCAUGUUAUGGCGAUAUGCCAGCAAUUCAGCAAAAACAAUUCCUAAACAUGGCUACAUGUUUGAUUCAAUUUACAUAUUAGUAAUUAAAUUGGUACAUCAAUAAUCAAUUAACCUCUAUAAGUACCAGUCACUAUUUGCAUUCUCUCAUCAUCAAUCACACAACAUAUACACUAUAACCAAAGUACCAAAACCCAUAUUGAAUUGGUUCAAAUGGCUUCCAAGCAGUCUCCAUCAUCAGCUGUUUUCUUUCUCACACUAAACAUUCUCUUGUUUGCAUUAGUCACUGCUCAUGAUGAUUGCUCUCACCCUCCUAUGAAUGCACCAAAACCUCUUAAGAAACCAAUUACUUAUCCAACUCGACCAGGCAGUGUUCCCACACCUGCUGCAUAUGGUAAAUGCCCAAAGGAUGCUUUAAAGCUUGGUGUUUGUGCUAACUUACUUGGUGGUUUAGUUAGUGUUCAAGUAGGUACUCCUCCUGAUCACCCUUGUUGCACCCUCAUCAGAGGUCUUGUUGACCUUGAAGCAGCAGUAUGCCUUUGCACUGCCAUCAAAGCCAAAGUACUAAAUGUCGUCAAUCUGAAUGUCCCCCUUUCUGUCAGCUUGCUUCUCAACACCUGUGGAAAGAAGGCUCCAUCAGGUUUCCAGUGUGCAUAAAGUUGCAAACUGCCAUAUAUUAUCCUAUUUUUUGCCUUCCACCAAUCUAUCUCUAUAUGUUAGUGUUGUUUUUACCUAAAUUGUAUUCCAUGUUUUCCUUAGCUUCUGUCAGUGGUGAUCCUAUAUCAUAUGUAUUGCAAUGAUUUAAUUGAUUGACAGAUUUUUUAUUUUUUCCUUACAAUAUAUAUGUACCAUUCUUUGCCCAUUGAAACAGAAAUAUAAAUGCGUAAUUUAAUUUCCAUGGAAUAAGAUACUGCAUGUUAAAGUAGUUUUUUGAGCUAUGGAUAGUCUUUUUGUUGUUAAAGUUUACCCAUCUUUCAUUAAAAAGAAGCUUACAUCGUCACACCCAAAGUCGUUGGCUCGUUGCCGAGAGGUUCCUUGGCGUCCACACAAUUUUUAUUUUUUUUUAAAUCAUACACAGUUUUUUUUUUUUUUUUAAAAAAAAAAAGAAAAAAUCUAGUACGUAAGGCACUUAGUGGUUCCUUGGUGUAUGAAUUACAUUGACACAAGUGAUGCAAAAGACUCCAAUUCAAAGAAAAUUUUCUCGAUAACUUCAAUUGCUAUUUAAGGUUUCCUUGCCCUACAAUGAAAAGAACUGCUAAAUUCCAUAGUAGGAUACACCUCUAUCAUUUAGAGUAUGGCUUCAGUAUACAAUCCCCACACCUUAAGUUCAAUAUAUUUUAUUGAAUUGAAAUUAAAAGCUCAAACAAGAACACUCCAUAGCUGUAAACAUCACUCUUUUCAGUUAACUUCUAGUUCCAUGCACGACUGUUUGUGCUCGACCUUUACCAGCGGGAACCAUCCUCAAAAUCAGCAUUAAAAAUACAUUUGCAACUUCGAUCAGCUAGUUCGUUGCAAUUAAGAAUAUAUUUGCAACUUUAGCGAAUUCGUUGUAAAUAAAUUCUUAUUUGCAAAUAAAUUCUUAUUUGCAACUUCAGCAAAUUCGUUGCAAAAAUAUUCUUAUUUGUAACUUUUUCGAAUUCGUUGCAAAUAAAUGUCUGUUUGCAACUGUUAUUGAAACGUUGCAGAUGCAUGAUAUUAGCAACGUUUAACUAGUGUUGUAAAUGCAAUGUCAACAACAUUUUGGUCCACUACUUGCAACUGAAUAAACGCUGCUAAUUAAUUUUGUUGAACAUUGUUACUUAUUUAUUUGGUUUAUUCAAUAGCAACGUUAUUGUUAGUUGCAAAACAUGGUAAGUAAAAAAUUAAAAAUGAUAUUUACAACAAUUUAAAUGUUGCGCUAAUAAAUUCUUUUAGCAAAUCAAACCUUGAAUAGUUAUUUCACAAAUUCACAACACAUCACCAUAGUUCUAAAAAUAUAUUGCAGAAAAUAACAAAGGGGUAUUUAGGUUUUGGCCAUGAUCUUAUGGGUGUAAUUAGGCUUUGGCCAUUUUUAAUUAUGUAAUUAGGGUUUGGCAAUGAACUGGAAGCUGAACCAAACAAAUUUCUUAAAUAACCAAACUACCCUUGGCAAAUCGCACGUGAAAUGCACGCACGUGGCCAAAAUAUCUCACCAUGGAGCACGUCGUAUGCACGAGGAUUUGAACAACACGUGAGAUGCACGUGGCCUAAAAUACUAGAGUUUAGAUAGGACACGUGUCACUCAUCUGACGGUCUAUAAUCUUUUAAAUCGACAUUAGCCGUUGAUCAUGUAAUCUAUGUGAUUUUCGAGGCCAAAAGAGCGGGAAAGAAGGCUAAGGGUUGCUUAUCUAACACCCAACCCACCUUCUCUUUUACUCUAUUUUCUCUCUCUCUCUCUCUCUCUCUCUCUCUCUCUCUCUCUCUCUCUCUCUCUCUCUCUCUCUCUCUCUCUCUCUCUCUCUCUCUCUCUCUCUCUCUCUCUCUCUCUCUCUCUCUCUCUCUCUCUCUCUCUCUCUCCCUCUGUAAGAUGAACCUUCGAGAAAACUAGGGUUUAUAUCAUAAACAAACAAAAUCAUCGAAAUUGAACACAACCGAACCUAGAUCUUGUUGAUUUCAUGCAUAAGAUUAAAGAAAAAAGGUGAUACUUGUUGAUUCAGAGCGUGGGGGGAGCUUCGUUUCAGUGAAGAAGAAAAAACGUGGUUCAACUGAGCAUCACAGGUAUGAACACAAUAUCUUCCUCUUCCAUUAUGCUUGUUGAAAGUUGUAAUUUUUAGGUUUUUUUUUUUUUUUUUUUUUUUUUUCUUUUCUUACAUUGAUGAUGAUGCAUGUAUGAUAAGAUAGGUUUUUCAAAUUGAUGAUGGAUGUUGUUGUAAAAAUUGUUCUUUUGUUUCAAUUUAUGAAGAAUUUGUUGAUAAAAAUGUAUACUUUGAAGAUUUUUUUAUUUUUUAUUUUUUUUGUUUGUUUUGGGUGGUUAUUAUUUAGGGUUUAUGCCGAUGGCUGUUAUUUCGAUAAAUAAUUGUUAAAAACAUAUUUUAUUUUUGCUGAGUACACUCGAUUUAUUAUAUCUAAGGCUUUUUAUUUAAUUUUUGUACUUUGUUUUUGAUAAUAUGUGUAAAGGUUUGUUUUUGAUAAAACUAUUGAACAAUUUUUCAAAUACUCUGUUUUAAAUGUAUAUGACUGGUGCAAUUCAUUGUUUGUUAAUGAUAAUAUGGUUAUUAUUUUGAUAUGACUAGAUAAGUGUAAUACAUGACUACACUAUGUUUUUUGUUUUCACAAACACAUGGAGCUUUUUCACAACACUAUGACUGACAGAGUGUAAUACUCAUAUGAUUCAUAUAGUCAUUAUUGAUGCUAUCUAUUUUGGAAUAUAUAUCUUUCUAUUUUGAUAUCGCUCUUAAUUAUAUAAACUUGUCUGAGUGUUUUGAAUAUUUAAUUCUAAUGAAGUAGUUACGGUCAUCAACUAGUUAUGGUAAUAUGAAAUAAGGAUUUGUAUGGUAAUUUUUGAUCCAAAGGUAAAAAUAUUUUAUUAAUAAGAAGCUCGAGUUGAGCAAAUAUACAGAGUACAUUUUCUACAUGUUACAUCAACCAAGCAAACAGAUGACCUGUAACAGGCACCUCCCUAUCAUUAAAAAUAGAGGCAGACUCCACAUAUCUAGUAGUUAUGAUAAUGAAUAUCUAGUAGUUUUUUUUUUUUGGUACAUAUAUAUAUCUAGUAGUUGAUAGAUAGUUUAUUGUUUGUGUUACAGUGAAAUGGCACUCCUUGGGAUUAGGAAAUAUGAAAAACACUAUGGUGGAUAUUGGGGUCUCUUCAAACCUGGAGAUGUGAGAAAGGGUAACUACAAAGGUGGGCAAAAAACUAUGUGGGCAUUAGAGGGUGAUUCUCUAAUGUGGAUGGAUUUUGCAGAGGACAUCAAGAAGCUAAUUGAGAAACCAGAGUUGAAUGAUAAGGAUCUGUAUGUGUCUUAUAUUCUACAAGGUGAAAAAAUGCAAAUCUCCACAGAUGAACACUUGAUGAAUAUGUGGUGUGAUGGUAAGCCUCUCAGUGAUAAAAAACAUCAUAUCUUUGUGAGCAUAGUGUUUCCUGCAGUUGCCAGAAAUACAUUAGGACUUGUAAGGAGAUCACCAAGGAUAGCAAGAACUGAGAAACCUAAACCUGAUAAACCUAAGGCAAAGAGAGUAAUUUUUGACAUUGAUGAUGACUUACCCCCACCCAGUCCUAAACACAACACUCUAGAAGCCAACAAUGUGUCAUUAGAGUGUCCAAGUCCUAUUCCAAGUAUUCCAAAAGUCAGUUUUUUUUCUACACCUAGAAGAUCACCUAGAUUCAUAAGUCCUGACUUAAACCCUAUUGGUUCUAGUAGUGUUGAACCUCCUCCACCAAACCUGAUGGCAGCCAACAGUGUUAGUUCUUGGGAUGGUAGUUCUCAGCCUGACAAUCAAUUCCAUUGUCAGCCUGACAGUCAAUUUGACAGUCAAUUCCUUACUCACCCUUCAAGUCAAUUCCUUGAUAAACCGAAGCAGUUUCCAAUGCCAUUUAUGAAUCAAACUGGUGAGUCAAGUACUUCCCCACCUAAACAAUUCCAUGUUUCUGAUGACUUUGAACUUCAUGUUGUUCUCAAAGGUGAUAAAAAACUACAUGAAGCUAGAGCUGAGCUUUUAGAUGAAUAUGAAUGUGAUGAUGAUCAGUAUGUGGCAGAAAACAAAUUUGGGAUGACUGUGAAUGAUGAAGAUGGUGAUGUACUUUGUUCUGAUAAUGAUGAUGGAGAUCCAGGCUAUUAUCCAAAAGAAUGUGAGAUGGAUAAAUCAGAUGACAGUGAUGCUGCUUUGGAGGAUGAGCUUUCAGGUGAUGAAAAUAUGGCAGUUGGUGAAGACAAUGGCAACAUGUUUGAGGAAGAGGAUAAUGAGAAGGUUGCAGACUUUCCAGUAAAUAAAGGGAUUCCUGAUAUGUGUGAAGGUAUGUGUUGGUCAAAUAUUAAAGAGUGCAGGAAGUAUUUCAAGACUAUGGCUGUGACAAGGCAUUUUGAGUACAAGCAAAAAAGCAAUGAUCCAAGCAGGUUCAGAUUGAAAUGUAAGGACUCUACUUGUAAGUGGUAUAUUUCUUGUUAUAGGGCAGGGAAAAAUGAUUGCACUAUGGUGUUGUAUAAAUUCUAUGAUGUACACACAUGUAUAUCACUUGGCAACAAUACACAUACACAUGCUAAAGCUCCUUGGAUGGCCGAAGAGGUAUAUGACUACAUGGUUACUCAUCCAGAGUCACAACCCAAAGACAUAAAAAGGAAGAUAUAUAAAAUGUAUGGUGAAAAGAUAAGUUAUUGGACUGCAUGGUCAGCUAGAAAAAUUGUGAUGGAAAGGAUGAAUGGGAAUUUUGAAGAGAGUUUUGCACAAACUCCAGAGUUAGUGAAACAAAUUCUCAUGGGAAAUCCAGGUUCUAUUGUGAGAUGUUAUGUUGAUGGUAAUAAGCAAUUUGACGGUUUUUUUGUUGCUUACAAAUCAUGUUUAGAUGGUUGGAGUAAAGGAUGUAGACCUGUAGUGGGACUAGAUGGAUGUCACUUGAAGGGGAAGUAUGAGGGGGUGUGCCUAAGUGCUAUAGGGCUAGAUGGAAAUAAUGGUUUAUAUCCAUUAGCAAUCUACAUCACCGGAAGUGAAACACUAGACAGUUGGAUGCAUUUCUUAACACUCAUAGAACCAGAUUUGAAGAAAAGAACAAAAGGGGCAGGUGGAGAUAUUUUAACUUUCUUUUCAGAUAGACAAAAGGGAUUGGUAAAAGCUGUGAGUACAGUCUUCUCUGGUGCUUAUCACAGGUUCUGUUACAGGCACAUGAUUGCUAAUUAUAAAAACAAUGGUUUUAAAGGUGAACAUUUGGUGAAUCUUGCUUGGGCUGCAGCUAAGGCUUUUAAAGUUUCUGAACAUGAGAAAGUGAUGGAAAUGUUGAAGAAUGAGAACGUCAAGGCAAAAGAGUAUCUAGAAAGGGAACCAGUGCAGUCAUGGGCUAGAUGCCACUUUGAUAAGACAUCAAAGUGUGAGUACAACAAUAACAACUUUUCUGAGUCUUUUAACAAAUGGAUGUUAGAGGUGAGGCACAUGCCCAUUUGCAGGCUAGUUGACAGAUACACUGAAAUGUUGUCAAAGCAAAUAUAUGAUAGAAAGGUAGCUGGUUUGGAGCUGGAGGAAGAUGACUUGGUGCCUAGGGUUAAGCACAUCAUUCAGAAAUUGGAUAAAAAAUAUUUCAAGUAUGAUGUCCAAGGUGUUAGUCUUGAUAUAUUCCAGGUCAAACACAGAAAAUCUAACAAGAAAUGGACUGUUGAGAUCAAGAAACAUAGGUGCAGCUGCAUUGAGUGGCAGAUGUCAGGUUACCCAUGUGUUCAUGCUGUAGCUGUUGUUAGGGAUAGGAGAGAACCAUGGUCACAGUAAGUUUGUUGACAAUUUUACAUUUAAAAUAUUUGACAAUAUAAGUAAUUUAUUUACUUUAUUUAUUUAUUUAUUCUUUCACAGUUGGUGUAGCGAGUGGUUUACUGUGAAAGCAUUCAGAGAAGCAUAUUCUGGGUAUAUAUACCCUAUUGAUCAUGUUGAUGAUUGGGGAGUUGUGAGUCUACAGUUGAUAAUGUUAUUUAGAUGUUUGUCUUUAUUUAUUUUGUACUUUAUUUAGUGUUAUUGAGCCUAAUUUUUUUUAUUUUUUAUUUUUUUUAUGUUUCUUACAUAGCCUGACAAGAUGGUCCUUCCACCACCAUUACAAAAGGCACCAGGUAGACCUAAAACUCAGAGAAUUAGGGGUGAAGAUGAGUCAGAAAACACAAAGACUUCUAAGGUUGUAUGCAACAUUUGUAAGGUACCAGGCCAUAAUAAGAGGACAUGUCCUACCAGAAAUGAUCCUAAUGUUGUGAAGAAAAGAAGAAGUAAGAAAUGUUAUUCUUAUUGUUGGAAAUGCAACUAAGUAUUGUUUGUUAAAUGUUGUUUGCUAAAUUUAUUCAUAUUAUUGGGAAUGCAGCUAAGAAAUAUAAAAGGAAUGAGCUCAUUGGUAUACUUGAUGAGCCAGUGAAACAACCUAGUAGAAAUGCAGGCUCAACAGGAAGGGGUAGAGGAAAAAGAGGUGGUGUGGCAAACUCAAGAGGUGGUCAUGCACAAUCAGGGCUAAUGGGCGGUGAUUCACAAACAACUAUGAACACAAGAUCUUCACAAACUGCUGCAGCAACAACUAGUGGAGGUGGUGUAAAUACAACUAGAGGAGGUGGUGUUAAUAUAAGGGGUGGAAUUGGUGGUCCCAAGGUCUGCAGAAUGUAUUAAUUGAGAGCUAAAUGUGCAAUCAAGUAAGUGAAAAUGUUUUGUUGUUUUGAUGUCGGUAGAACACAAAUAUUUUGGUGUUUGUAGGCAUAUUUUGGGCUAAUCUAGCUGUUGUGAUGUAAUGGAAUGGCAAAACAAAAAUAUUUUGGUGCCAUAUGGAUGUAUUCUGAACCUAAUGAGUUUUAAAUAUAUACUAAUAUUUUGGUUAUGUUAUUUGGUAUUGUGUGCUAGAUAUGCUGCAUGUGUUAUUUUAUUUUGCAUAUGUUAUAUAAUGAGAUGCAGAUGUUAUUUUGAUGAGUCCACACACAUUAGAUAAAAACACAUAUUAUAGAUAAAUAUGCUGCAUUACACAUUGAUGUAACACUUAGCACAUUACGACACCUUCAUCUGAACUUUAGCUAGGAAAACAGAGGAAAUUAGGUUCACUUCAGCUGUAUGUCCAUAAUGCCUAUAUAUUUGGCAUUGAUCCUGUGAAUAACAGAGUUUAGGAAACAAGUUCUUUUAACAAAUUAGAGAUUGGUCUUUCUGUAAAUGUGUAAAUUAGGUUUUGAAGCUUAAUGGCAGCCAUUGAUGUACUUGAAAAAAGAGAAAAAAAUGUGUCCCAGAAGUUACACCCACCCAUUUCUUGUUGUGAACUUGUUGGUGUUGUGAUGUUGUAGAAUGUUUGAUUAGUUGCAUGUACAAGAGAACUUGUUGGUGUUGUGAUGUUUGUUGCAGGUUUAGCUUUGUAAAAGUCAAGUUUAAAUAGAAAAGAAGACCCAACGACUAUAUAACGGCUCUUUUAUUUUAGCCGUUCGAUCAAUUUGCUUAGCUAAGAUUAAAACACUUGUAAUACUGUUUGUUUUAAGUUUUCAUAAGUUAUUCACGUGCAGCACACGUGACUUUUCUAGGGGCAUUACAGGCAUUUAUAGAAAAAUACCGGUUAAACCCGGUUUUUUUAUGAAUCGGGUCAAUCAUCAUUGUCAAACCCUAAUUACAUAAUUAAAAAUGGCCAAAGCCUAAUUACACCCAUAAGAUCAUGGCCAAAACCUAAAUAACCCAAUAACAAAAGAGUUAUUUAUUCAAAUUAAAAUUAAACCAUCUUUGAUUCAUAAAAAAGUACUAAAAGUUUUCGACAAAAAUAAACCAUCCAUCUGGUUCAUACAAAAAUACCAAAAUGUUGAAAGUCAUGUCUACUAUUUCAUCAUAAAAAGAGUCAUAAACUAUAAGUCCUAAAAUUCACUCCUCUUGGACCAAAAUGCAUUGCUUUUAUAUAAUUUUUACUUCCAAGCCUCUUGCUCCCACCAUCAGCCAUUCUGCAAUAGUAACAACACAAAUCGUUUAAUACAAUUCUAACAAAAAGUCGUUUUAAUAAGCUAUACUGAUAAUUAGGAUAUCAAUAUAUAGCCUAAAACAAUCUCUAGCAUCAGAUUGCCAUACAACUCCAAAGACUUAGAAGUAAGUUUAACUAUUUGGAAAAAAGACUACGACCUUGUCAAGGGAUGGUCAGCAAGCAGGUGAGUACUAUUAAAAUGGAAACAUAUACCAAAAAUAUUAAAAUAUAAACAUACCAUGGAGACGCGUUGUUGACUUGUAACAUCAUUGAACGACCAGCAAACACAGUUAUCAUUUGUUCUUUCCAAGCAAAAAAAUCUUGAAGUUGAUUACCUUACUCUUGAAGUCGAGUACCCUGUUCUUGCACUUGGGCAGUGAGCUCUUCAUUACGUCUUCCAGCUAUCUCUGCUCUCCUUCUAUACUCUUCCAUAUCAUAUUGAUUGUAGGCAUAUGAAGUAGAAGAUGAUGAAGGAAUGUGGCCAUUCCCAAGACCACGGAUGUAGUUGGAUCUCUUCCCCAACACCUUGUCACAUAUCUCAUCCCCAGUCAUUGCACUAGAACCCUCUUCUGGAGGUUGAGCCCUUAGUGUCAACAUUUUGUCCUACAAGUUAUCAAUGUUCACAUGAGUAUUAAGCCAAACCAAAACAUUAAGUUACAUUAAACUAAUAAAGCUUGUAAACUUAGUUGAAAAUACAUUUAGAAGUAUUUAGGUUUUAGUCACUAUAUGUAUAUACUAAUUAGGGAAAUAGCACUUUUGUUUCAUUAAUUAGGUUUUGAUCACUUGGUUUGACCCGAGUUACAAAAAAACCGGGUUUAACCGGAUUAUUUUUUAAAAUGCCUAAAUUACCCCUGUGAAACUCACGUCUUUUGCACGUGAUAAACUUAAACACCAACAAAUUCAAACCAAACACACGUGUUACAAUCUGGUGAAACAACAAUGCAACGUGUCAUUACAUUGUCUACUAAACACACGUCUCGUGCUUCUCACGUGAAAUUCUAGUGAGGGCAAUUUUGCCAUUUUAGAUCGUAUCUCGGGUUCAGCUAGACCAAGUGAUGAAAACCUAAUUAAUGAUACAAAAGUGAUAUUUCCCUAAUUAGUAUAUACAUAUAGUGACUAAAACCUAAAUACCCCAAACAUUAAGUUACAUUAGAUCUGUAUCCCUUGGAGUAAAAUGAUGAUCUAUCGAUCAAGUUCUUUGGUUAAACGUUGAACCUCCUUUUUAUGUAAUAAGCAACAAAAAGUAGUAUUUUGUCAGAUGGAGUAAAAUGAUGAUCUACAAUAUGUAUAGCAGAGCAAUACAAGUAACUGUUGCUACACAACUUUCCAUCAAUGAAACAACUUAGUCCUUAAUGUGAUCUGGUUUGCUUUGUUUGUCCGAAACAGUUUUAACUCAUUGAGCAGAUGAUCAUAACUAGAAUAAAACAUGAACGAAUUGCUGAGAAGUUAAGGCCAUGAAAGAGCUCCCGCAGGUGGGCAUUGGUCAGCUUGUUUCUCUUUCUAAUAUUGCGUAUCUUUUGCAAAAUUUUGUAGGUUUAAAACACUCUUAUAAUUGUAAUGGUUACUUGAGGAUGUUAAUAGCCACGGGUGAUUUCAGAGAUCGGAAUGGUGUUGGUCAGAUUAGGAGGUCUCUUGACAAAUAAGAGAAUACUCUACUGUCUACGAAGGAAUGCAGUUUAUUGUAAGUGAAACCAAUACCAUUGAGCUUUUUAAAGCAAGUAAAUGCUAAUGUGGACAAGUUGGCUUACUGUCACCAAAUAAAUGAAAACGAGAAUUAGGCCUGGACGCCCAAUUACACAAUCAGAACGAAAACUGCCUGUAAGGUAAUUUUAUCUUAUGACCACUUCCUCUUCAUAAGGUCAAUUCUAAUGGUGAACAACCCUGUUUUGAAAAUUUAAUUAUAUAAGCAAUGUGACCUUUAGUAUGAAUGUAUAAUGAUUUUGCGGUUGUUGUUGUUCAAUUGAAUCGGUGCACCUUGAUCACAGAUACAUAUGGUGGCACAAGUGUACAAAUGACGGAUUCCAUAGAAUGUAUGAAGAUUUUGCGCACAACCGCACCUCAUUGCUCAAAACCUCAAAACGAUGGAGUCUUCAGUAUCAUUGUUGUUGUUGAUUCGAAACAGUACACCUUGAUCACAGAGACAUAUGCUGACAGUAACAGAGCUACAGACACAGCUUGGAUGAGGCCACCAAAUUGCCAAACAAAUCUUUGACCAGGAAAACCUCUAGUCUACAAGGGUGAUGGAUGCCAUUGGGAUAAGAUUCUCUUUGGAUUCCAUUAGGUCAUUAGGAUAAGAUUCUCCUUGAAAAGAUUCUGAUGAAAUAAAUUUUGGUCAAGCAAAGCAACAUCAUCAAUAAAACCCAUCCAUUCCACAUAAUUCUUCCGCAACAAAACUUUAGAAAGAGCUGUGAAGACUGAUAAGAAUGGGUGGUAUCGGAAACAACUUCCAACGAAAGUCCCUGCUGCUGUGGAACCACUGGAGGAUUUUGAGAAUUGGAAAUGUAAGAAGACAGAUCCCAACUGUGUUUUUAGUUCUCUUUAGCAAGAAGAGGAAGCCAUUUAAUUUUUCUCGGAUUGGAAAUUCUUGGCAGGUUCUAGUCUUGAUGUGGUGAGUUCUGAAGGAAAAGUGUACCUGUUCUCUUCCCAAUGGAUCAUAAUGGUGUUUAUAGCCAAGGAGAACUUUGUGGCUUCUCACUGCAAUCCAGUUUCUACUGCAUGCUUAGACAAAUAUUCAAAGCUGCGCACUUUCCAACCAUUUUUUUGGUGGAAUGUGCUUUCAAUCCAAGAUGCAAACUGCAGUUCCAAGAUUAACAAUUUUAUUAGUCCUUGUUGGUUUACUUGUAAAGUUAGCCAGUAUUGGUCUUUCAGCUGGAUCAAUCCAAGACGCAAACUGCAGUUUCCAAGAUUUGGAAUGUUAUUUUAAGUGUUUGUCUAGCUACUUCCGAUUUGAUUUGUUACCAUAAACACAAUAUUAUGUCGUUCCUUGUGAUGAUACACACACUGGGCCUGUUGUACGUUAUCAUGAAGUUGUUGCCAUUGAGGGAAAUAAGACAUAUAUAAUGGUGAAUGCGCAACCCACAGCGGCAUAUAACACUGUAUAAAAAAGUCAUGUGCUGGAAAUAUUAUACUUGCAUCUGGAAGUUAGUCUUCAAUCAUCAUGAGGUCUAUAUGUUUUGUAGGUUUAAAAACGUCGUUAUGCAAUGGUGAAAUGAAAAUGAUGAUAGUGUAGCGCCUCACGGAAACGUAAUCACAUAAACACUGUUGAUAAUCGAAUAGAAAAUAACACACACACCACAAUUGAAAAUAAUAAACAAUUCAAAUAACAAAACACAAGAAAAUUAAGUGGUUCGGCGUUUGCCUACGUCUACGGAACAAAGUGAGAAUAGCUUUAUUAAUGUUUGAGAAGAUGAAGAACAAUUAUACACAAAAACCGUAAUAUCGGUUUUCCACUACACAGAUUUGAAUCUCACACAUCUAUAAUCCUCUUUUUCUGUGUGUGUUUUUUUUACCCAUAGCCACACUCCCUAUUUAUAACCCAAAAGGUUAUACACAGUUUCUAAUGGAAUUGAAUUCCACAUUAGAAACUAAUUCAAGUCCUUUAAGGACACAUGUUGUUGUCAACCAAAUAGAUUUCUAAAUAGAAAUCUAACUUUGAUUCCCAAUCAGACUCUUACAUUAAUUGGUUUCCACAACGGGCUUGGGCCUUGUUCUCAACAAUUCUCCACCUCGGCGAAGAUUUCACAAAUAUGAGCCGAUCACACACGAGCACAUUCGAACAUCUUCUUCUCACACGGGCUGCACCAUGAAGUAGUUGCCUACGUACCCUCUGAACCGGGAUCAAGCCUCUCGUAGUUCUUCUCCACACAAGCAUUAACUCAUCUUUGCCCACACGCCCCUAAGGGCCUCGAUUCACAUGAAGGGUAUUGAUCAAGUCCAAACAAUGUUGGAACUUGACCCCAGACACAAUCUUCGUCAACAUGUCUGCAGGAUUAUCUUUGGUGUCAAUCUUCUCUAAUAAGAUGUCACCUUCUUCAAUGUUCUCACGUACAAAGUGAAAACGAACAUCAAUGUGCUUCGUACGUGCAUGAUGAACAAAAUUCUUAGCCAAACAAAUGGUACCUAUACUAUAUCACACCCAGAUCAUCAAGCAACCCUUGAAGCCAAAUGGCUUCUUUAAUGGCUUCAGUAAUAGCCAUGUACUCCGCCUCAGUUGUUGACAAUGCAACUGUAGACUGCAAAGUAGACCUCCAACUUACCAGUCCUCCAGCAAUAGUGAACACAUAACCAGUAGUAGAACGCCUCUUAUCUAGAUCUCCUGCAUAAUCUAAAUCCACAUAACCAACACAAAAUUAGCUCUUACACACAUCCUUCUCAAAAAGUAAACCCACAUCUAAAGUACCCAAGAUGUACCGUAGAAUCCAUUUCACCGCUUGCCAGUGCCCUUUACCGAGAUCAUGCAUGUACCGACUAACCAUGCUGACUGCCUGUGAAAUGUCGGGCCUCGUACACACCAUCGCAUACAUUAAGCUUCCUACUGCACUAGCAUAUGGAUCCUGAGCCAUGUCCUUACUCAUCUGGCCCUUCAACUUAUCAAUCUCAUACUUGCUCUUAGAGGCUAUUAACAUGUCAUCAACAUAUAAGAGCAAAUAUAUAAAGGAACCAUCACGAAGCUUACGGAAGUAGACACACGGAUCAUAUUGGUUUCGAGUGUACUCCUGCCCUAGCAUAAACCGAUCAAAUCUUUUGUACCACUGUCUAGGAGACUGCUUCAACCCAUACAAGGACCUUUUCAGUUUACACACACAAUCUUCUUGCAACCUUAAACCCAUUCGGCUGAGUCAUAUAGAUCUCCUCUUCUAAAUCACCAUGCAAAAACGCAGUUUUCACAUCAAGUUGAGCUAACUCAAGAUCAAACUGUGCAACCAAGGCCAACAUAAUACGAAUGGAAGAAUGUUUCACAAUCAACUGGAGAAAAAACCUCAUUAUAAUCAAUACCUUCCUUCUGAGCAUAACCUUUCGCAACUAGCCUUGCCUUGAAACGCACACCAUCACUAGGAGAUCCUUCUUUCUUUGUGUAGACCCAUUGCACCCAAUAGCUCUCUACCUCUCUUACCUUUCGGUAACNNNNNNNNNNNNNNNNNNNNNNNNNNNNNNNNNNNNNNNNNNNNNNNNNNNNNNNNNNNNNNNNNNNNNNNNNNNNNNNNNNNNNNNNNNNNNNNNNNNNNNNNNNNNNNNNNNNNNNNNNNNNNNNNNNNNNNNNNNNNNNNNNNNNNNNNNNNNNNNNNNNNNNNNNNNNNNNNNNNNNNNNNNNNNNNNNNNNNNNNNNNNNNNNNNNNNNNNNNNNNNNNNNNNNNNNNNNNNNNNNNNNNNNNNNNNNNNNNNNNNNNNNNNNNNNNNNNNNNNNNNNNNNNNNNNNNNNNNNNNNNNNNNNNNNNNNNNNNNNNNNNNNNNNNNNNNNNNNNNNNNNNNNNNNNNNNNNNNNNNNNNNNNNGCUGCAAUCCUCUAUGGUCUUACUCUCCACCUGCCGAGAGUUCUUCGACUUCAACAUGGAAGCCUCAUCAAAAGUCACAUCCCUGUUAAUCACAAUUUUAUGAGAUUCAAGAUCCCAUAACUUAUAGCCUUUUACACCUUCUACAAAACCAAAGAAUAUAGAUUUCUUGGCUGGAGGAUCCAACUUGCUUUCUUUUACAUGAAAGUAAGCAGGACAUCCAAAAACAUGCAGCCUAUUAUAAUCAGUAGCAGGAUUCCCAGACCAUACCUCCAUUGGAGUUUUUCCAUCAAUUACAGCUGAAGGCAACCUAUUAAUGAGAUGGCAAGCAUAUGUCAUAGCCUCAGCCCAAAACGUCUUGCCUAACCCAGCAUUAGACAACAUACAUCGUACCCUCUCCAGUAAUGUACGAUUCAUGCGUUCUGCCACCCCAUUCUGUUGCAGCGUACCUCUAACCGUGAAGCGUCUCAUAAUACCUUCAUCCUGACAUACUUGCAAGAACGGAUCAGAUUUGUACUCACCUCCAUUAUCUGUACGGAUCGUUUUGAUCUUUCUGCCAGUCUGAGUUUCAAUCAUCUUCUUCCACUUCAGGAACACAUUCAAGACCUCAUCUUUAUGCUUCAUGGUGUACACCCAUACACGUGAAUAAUCAUCUACAAAAGUGACGUAAUAAAACAUACCUCCCAAUGAUGUUUGCUUGGAAGGUCCCCACACGUCCGAGUGAACAUAAUCAAGAGUCCCACGAGUACGAUGGAUAGCAGUGCCAAACUUGACUCUUGUUUUCUUGCCCAUAACACAAUGUUCAUAGAAAUCUAACUUGCAGGUCUUGACACCUUUCAACAAUCCUUGUUUGGCUAGAUUUUGCAAAGAUUUCUCAUUAACAUGCCCUAAACGCAUGUGCCACAACUUAGUAGUAUUGAGAGAAUCACCUGCAGACUCAGUAACUGCAACAUCAUCUGUAAUAGUACUCCCCUUUAAGAAGUACAAGUUACCUUCUUUCACUGCCUUCAUCACAACCAUAGCACCAGACAAAACUUUAAGAAUACCUUGUUCGAUGGUUAAUUUAUAACCUUUGGUAUCCAAGUCACCCGCAGAGAUGAGAUUCUUCUUCAAGUUAGGAACAUACCUAACAUCACACAAUUCUCGAACCAUACCAUCAAACAUCUUCACACGGAUUUUACCAAUCCCUUUGACUGCUAAAGGAUGAUUAUCACCCAAAUAAACAGAUCCACCUUCCAACUUUGAAAAGCUAGAAAACCAAUUCCUAUUAGGACACAUAUGAUAACUGCAGGCUGAAUCAACAAUCCAUAUGUCUGCAGAACAAAUCAACGAUGACAUGGAAAAAGAAUACUCAUCAGAAUCUUCAUCAUUACUCUUGGCGACGUUCGCAGUAGUGUUUAUCUUGUCUUUGGCUUUCGCUUUGGGACAAUCUUUAACCCAAUGUCCCUUUUGAUGACAGAAGGCACAUUCAUCAGCCAAAAUUUUUGAACCACCUCUCGAUUUAGAUCGAGAUUUACCUCGAUCUUUUACCACUAGGUUUACGGUCUUUACUUCUUCCCCUUACAAUCAACGCUUCAGACGAUGCAUCUCUAUGGAUCUUCAAAUCCUUUCUCCUGUACUCAUAAUUAAGCAAAGCUGUAGCGACCGCAUCAUACUCCAACUCUUCUUUUCCCGUUAGCAAAGUAGUAACGAAAUGUUCAUAUUCUUCUGGAAGGGAAUUUAGUAAACACAAAGUCUGAUAAUUCUCAGGGACUUUCUCAUCGAGAUUCAGUAAAUCAGCAAGUAGUUUGUUGAAUUCAUUAAUAUGUUCAGACAAACUAAUACCUGGUCUCAAAUUCAUCCGGAAAAGUUGUUUGAUCAAGAAGAGUUUAUUUUGAAUACUUUUUGUCAUAUACUUAUCUUCCAACUUCUUCCAGAGCUCUUUUGCAGAGGUUUCCUUCAUAACAAAGUACUUUUGUUCCUUUGCCAAACACAAUCGUAUAGACCCACAUGCUUGCCGAUUCAAUUUCUUCUAAUCUUCUUCUUUCAUCGUAUCUAGCUUGUCACCUAAAGCUUCCUCCAAAUUUUCUUUAGCUAAUACAUCCAUAACUUCGCAUUGCCACAUGCCGAAAUUGUUCUUGCCAUUGAACUUUUCGAUGUCGAAUUUCCCAACUGUAGCCACCUUAGAAUUUGAACUUGAAUCUGCAGAAUUCGUCAUAUUCUUCACAAUUUUCUAAACCAAUCACCAACAAACACAACCCAAGAGAGUUUCACCAAAAAACAACUUGAAAAACCCAAGAUUGGAUUUUCAACAAAUCUGGGAAAACAGAACCGUCAACGUCAAAGAAUUAUUGAGAACAAAAUACUUUGAACCAGAGAACGUACCAUAUACUGAUAGAAAGUCUGAAGAGUCUACUUUCCAAACCAAAAAACGGAUCGAGGUUACGAUAUCCGAGCACAAUGUUAUGGCCGUUUUACCACAGGGUGUCGAAUCUGGACAGAUUUCUAAAACCGAACAAAACCCUACAAACAAUGUUCUACAAUCCUUUCUACAACCCAAAGGAAUAACCUUCGGCUCUUGAUACCAAUUUGUAGCGCCUCACGGAAACGUAAUCACAUAAACACUGUUGAUAAUCGAAUAGAAAAUAACACACACACCACAAUUGAAAAUAAUAAACAAUUCAAAUAACAAAACACAAGAAAAUUAAGUGGUUCGGCGUUUGCCUACGUCCACGGAACAAAGUGAGAAUAGCUUUAUUGAUGUUUGAGAAGAUGAAGAACAAUUAUACACAAAAACCGUAAUAUCGGUUUUCCACUACACAGAUCUGAAUCUCACACAUCUAUAAUCUCUUUUUCUGUGUGUGUUUUUUUUACCCAUAGCCACACUCCCUAUUUAUAACCCAAAAGGUUAUACACAGUUUCUAAUGGAAUUGAAUUCCACAUUAGAAACUAAUUCAAGUCCUUUAAGGACACAUGUUGUUGUCAACCAAAUAGAUUUCUAAAUAAAAAUCUAACUCUGAUUCCCAAUCAGACUCUUACAUUAAUUGGUUUCCACAACGGGCUUGGGCCUUGUUCUCAACAAAUAGCAGAUUAGCAGGUGAUUUCAAAGCAGCUUAUGUUGCGCCUCGCAGAAACGUAACCACACAAUUGUUCAUAAUUGGAGAAUAAAAAUAAACACACAUACACAAUAGAGAGCAAAUCAAUUUUCAAAGGUUUCAAUUUUCCGAAGUUUCAAUAUCACACUCAAAUCUCGAUUCAAUUUUCUAUGUUCUCUCUAUCACAUCUUCACACCUCUCUGAAGGAGAUAAACAACUAUUGAGAAUACUAAACAAAUCCCUAAGACCUUAUAUUUAUAGCCUUUAGGGUGUACAAAACCAACUCCUAAUAAGAACACAAUUACUCAUCAAAUUAGAAGUCUUAUUCCAAUACCACUUUCUUAAUCCUUGAUGGACUUGGAAAUCCAAAUCCAAAAGGGAUUCCCCGAGAACCUGAAUUCCAACAAUUCUCCACCUCGGCAAAGAUUUCUUAAAUUAAUCUGAGCCGAUCAUACACGAAUACAUUCGAAUUUUAUCUUCUCACACCGACUGUUCCACAAAAACAGUUGCCUACGUACCCUCCAAGAGGAUCAAGUCAUUGUAGUUCUUUCAAAAGGACAUCUAUCGAUCCCCACCAAGCCUCUAAGGGCCACAUCAAAUCAAAUGCCCAUCAAUCCCCAAGGGCCAAUGUCCAUGAAGGACCCACUUUCCAAAUUCAACACAAUAAGGUUCAAAGUUCCAAUUACCAUCUUCACUUCAAAGUAAGUAUCAAUUGGAGAUGUUCCACUAACCCGAAACCGCAAUUGGUUUCUCACAUCCAUUGGCUUCACAACUACACUUGACUCACGAGCUCGAAUAUUUUCAGCUUCAAUUGUGGCUUUAUCACUAACACUAGCUGUGUACACAUCCAAAUUUCCAUCACACGGAGAUGGAUCAAUCUCCACCUUUUGAGAUCUCUCUUCCAUAUUCAAACAAUCAACCACAUCAAGAUGCAUGCCUAAACGAAACAGUGUUUCGUUCAAUCUCAAAGCCACGAUUUUUCAUCUUGGUAGAUUCCAUACUUCCAAAUUUCAAAUAUGGAGAAUAGUCUCCACAUGCACCACUUCCAAUUAGGAAGUACACAUCUUUUUUCUUUGUCCCCUUCAUCACAAAGUACUUUUGUUCCUUAGUGAAACACAAUCGAAUAAACCCACAUGUUUUUCGAUUCAGGUUUUUUCAAUCUUCUUCCAUCAUCUUUUUGGGUUUAUCACCCAAAGCUUCUUCCAAAAUUUUCUUAGCCAACACAUCCAUAGCUUCGCAUUGCCAUAUGUCGAAAUUGUUCUUACCAUUGAACUUUUCGACACCAAAUUUCUCGAUCGUAGCGACCUUUGAAUCCAGCUUAUUAUCGAACUUUUUAUAAACCAAUCACCAACACACAAACACAACCGAAGGAUUUAACCUUCGGCUCUUGAUACCAAUUUGUUGUUCCUCGCGGAAGCAUAACCACAAAAACACCAUUUGUUAUUGGAGAAUAAAAAUAACAAACACUACAAUUGGGAAAACAAAUCAAUUUUCAAAGGUUUCAAUUUUCAAUAUUCAAUAUCCAAAGUUUCAAUAUCACAUCAAUCAAUUUUCAAUUCUCAAAUCUGGAUUCAAUUUUCUAUGUUCUCUCUAUCACAUCCUCACACCUCUCCCAAAGAGACAAAACAUAUUGAGGAUGGAUCCUCACACCUCUCUCAAGGAGAUAAACAACUAUUGAAGAUACUAAACAAAUCCCUAAGACCUUAUAUUUAUAGCCUUUAGGGUGUACAAAACCAACUACUCCUAAUAAGAACACAAUUACUCAUCAAAUUGGGAGUCGUAUUCCAAUACCACUUUCUCAAUCCUUGAUAGACUUGGAAAUCCAAAUCCAAAACAAAUUCCACGAGAACGUGUUUUCCAACAGCUUACAGAGUGGAAUGGUUGUGGGGCAAGUCUGUCCAUAAUCAACAAUGAUACAAGCAAUGGAUAUGGUUAUGUUACAUAUGACUAGUAGUCUUUAUGUUAUAUAUUUUUCCUUUCCCUUUUCAGGUUUUUGUCUACUUCUCCUGAAGUUGUUGGCUUGUUGCCAGAGAGGGAAAUGAGAUAUAAUGAUGAAAGUCUGAACCGAUAUGAACAAAUGACAUUGUUCAUAUCUGUCAUGUGUUUGGAAAUGCAAACAUUACUUGCAUGGAUGAGCAUUUAGAAAGUUAAAUUUGUCUGCAACCAUCAUGUUGACGACAAAUGAUAGUUUAAAAGAAGAAGAAUAUGAAUUCUCAAAGAGAGAUUUAGAGGAAAGGGAAGAAAUCGAUUGACGAAGGAGAAAAUAUUAAUGAAGGAGUUUGGAAGAAUAUAAUUGAGAGAGACAAUAGAUUGAUUGAAAAAUCUGUAUUGAAUAUUGGUUCUUCUAUUACAAUGACAAUGGUCCUAUCAAAAUGGGACGGAGGAAGUAUUAUUUUUGCAGAAAGAUUACAUUUUAAAGAAUCCAAUUUUGUAAGGGUUUGAAAGUUGGAACCACUUUAACUUUUUUUUUUUUUUUUUGGUAACCCGCAACCACUUUAACUUGACAUACAUCUCAGAAUGGCAUGGAUAUUAGGGCUUAAUUAGACUUAUCAUCAUCUUAUUCUAUUCAGUCAGUAUUGGGUAAUGACAGAGGAGGACGGCAAAUUGCAAUGCAUAGGAUAAUAAUGUCCACAGGGCAAAUGCAUGAUCAUUGUUUUUUCGUGUUCUUGUUAUCAAUAACCUGGUAGGCAUUUUGGAUAAUGUGCAUCUUCUGGCACACUGAUAUCUGACAAAUGCUUGGACAUGUGCUACUCAUAUUUGUUAGUAGUGUUACAGUUGCUAGCUAGGAUGAGGAUUGGUCUUGGAUAAUGAAUAUUUUUGCAUAACUAAUAUUUGGAUCACUUAUUCACUUGCAUGACCGGGUGGUGUUGCUAAGGGUUAAAAAGUUAAUAACCAGAUGCAAACAACGUCCUCUUACAACAUUUCCUGGUUGAGAUCAGGUCAUACAUCGGCAGUAUACCUAUGUUCAUCUCACCACACCAACUAAGAUCAUUACAUUUGUUCUUAUGACCACUUCCUAUGGGCAAUUCUAAUAGCAAGCGACCUAAUUAAUAUGUGACCACUAUAUCUAUUAACUUUUUUAAAACAAAAAAUACCCCUAAAAAAAUAUCUUUUCAAUUAGGCUAUCAACUAGGAUAGUUUAAUUGAAGAGAAUUUUGAUUAAGGGUAUAUUUGUAACUAGUGUCUUAGCCGGUGCUACGCAUCGGUUAAUUUUAAUUUAUCCGUGUCUGAUUAACAUUUGAGUUUUAAGUUAUUAAUUUUAUUAAAUAUUAUAAAUUACACUAAUUUAUUAAAUCGUUCAAAUAAUUAUUUUUUAAGAUUCAUUAAUCUCAUUGUAUUUUCUUAAUUUAGUUAUUUUUAUAAUUAUUAGACAUUUUGCUCAUAAAUAAAAAUUCAGUCCAUAAAAUAAAAAUAUGUUAAAUUACAAUAAAACCAUUAUUUAAAGGGUAUUAUAUAAAUUUACCAAAAAAACCAUGACUAAAAAGGUAUUUUAGUAAGAAUUAAGUGACAAAAUUAUAAAGCUCAAUUCUCAUUAACUGGGACUUACCCUUGAAUUUUAUUCAGGUUUAUAAUAGUAGUAUAGAUUACACAAAAGCGAACCACCCACAGAUAUAAUCAAUCCCACUCCAAUAAGUGGACUUAAUCCCAAAGAUAAUCAAAUCUACCGCGUGCAUUGAAUGGGCCUAAGGGGUUCUUUGUUUUUCAUUUAGCAGUCUCAAUGACUGAACUUAAGUGCUUCACUAACCGGUCCACUGAUUUUUAAUUAAGUGGUUCAGGCCAAAAUUUUGACAGAACGACACUGGAUUUCUUAAUGUGUAUUAAGAACCUAAUCAGUAUUCAGAGUUUCAGACCAUUAAGUGCUUAACUAAAUAAAAAACAAACAACACCUAAGCACUAGUGUGUAAAGAUUUUUACUGCACUUUAGAGUCAUUGCUCAGAUUGACGGAGUCUCAAAUGUUUAUGUUGUUGUUCACUCGCUGUAAAGUAGCUGCAGACACAACUUGGACGCUUGCUAAGCAUGCUUAAUAUGACAACCGGUCAGGCCACCAAAUACAUCUUUGACCAGGGAUAUAUAUAUACCUCUACAAGACUACAACUACAAGGGUGAGCUGAGCCUUCAAGAUAUAAAGAUUCUCUUUGGAUGCCAACAUCAAUAAAAACCCUAGGAAAAACAAUGGUUGUUUCCAUUCAUCAGUUGAUUUAGAUCUGGAAGAAGAAGUCAUGUUCUGUUCUGGCAGCUGUGAAGAAACUGAUAAGAAUGGGUGGUAUCGGAAAAAAAAUUAAAUUACCAACGUCCUACUCCAGACCGCUGAAUAUGUUGCUGCUCAUAGAGCUUUUUACAAAGCCGAAUCGGGGUGAUUUCUAAAUGGUGUGAUGGAUUUCUAACUAGUGGGCAGAUCUGUGAGGGAAUCUCAGCAGCCGAACUUCAGUGGGCAGAUAUGGGGAACACCAGUGUCAAAAUCCGAUAAAGCUUUAAAGGAACUAAUUUCAGUCUACAAAUUGCAUAGUUCUGAUGAAGACGAUGAGAAUGAGUGAUGUUGGAAAAAAUAAAAUUGGAAACAUCCAACUAAUUUUUUGUUCUUAUUUGAAUCUAGCAUCAGUUUUUCUAAUUUGGUUGUUACACUAUAUAUCACCACACUUUGUUUUAGGGUUUUUUUUCAUUCUCUUUCCAAGUUUUUCAAGAUCAUUCACAGUUACACACCUUAAAUUAUGUUUGUCUAGUUA
rnacentral:lncRNA from 1 species